rnacentral:rRNA from 1 species
GACGAACGCUGGCGGCGUGCCUAAUACAUGCAAGUCGAGCGGAAGUUGGAGAGCUUGCUCUUCAACUUUAGCGGCGGACGGGUGAGUAACACGUGGGCAACCUGCCCUGCAGAUCGGGAUAACUCCGGGAAACCGGUGCUAAUACCGAAUAGUUUUCGCCACCUCCUGGUGGCGUACGGAAAGACGGUUUCGGCUGGCACUGCAGGAUGGGCCCGCGGCGCAUUAGCUAGUUGGUGGGGUAACGGCCCACCAAGGCGACGAUGCGUAGCCGACCUGAGAGGGUGAUCGGCCACACUGGGACUGAGACACGGCCCAGACUCCUACGGGAGGCAGCAGUAGGGAAUCUUCCGCAAUGGACGAAAGUCUGACGGAGCAGCGCCGCGUGAGUGACGAAGGUUUUCGGAUCGUAAAACUCUGUUGUGAGGGAAGAACAAGUACCACUUAACUACUGGUACCUUGACGGUACCUCACCAGAAAGCCACGGCUAACUACGUGCCAGCCGCCGCCGUAAUAC